UCCCUGGUGGUCUAGUGGCUAAGAUUCUGUGUUCCCAAUGCAGGAAGCCCAGGUUCAUUCCCUGGUCAGGGAA
rnacentral:tRNA from 1 species